rnacentral:tRNA from 1 species
GCCCGGAUGGCGAAACUGGUAGACGCAUCGGACUUAAAAUCCGCCGACCGCGAGGUCAUGCCGGUUCGAUCCCGGCUCCGGGCACCA